GAUGAACGCUGGCGGCGUGCUUAACACAUGCAAGUCGAACGGUGAAGGCGGAGCUUGCUCUGCUGGAUCAGUGGCGAACGGGUGAGUAACACGUGAGCAAUCUGCCCCUGACUCUGGGAUAAGCGCUGGAAACGGCGUCUAAUACUGGAUACGAGCUGCGAAGGCAUCUUCAGCAGCUGGAAAGAACUUCGGUCAGGGAUGAGCUCGCGGCCUAUCAGCUUGUUGGUGAGGUAACGGCUCACCAAGGCGUCGACGGGUAGCCGGCCUGAGAGGGUGACCGGCCACACUGGGACUGAGACACGGCCCAGACUCCUACGGGAGGCAGCAGUGGGGAAUAUUGCACAAUGGGCGAAAGCCUGAUGCAGCAACGCCGCGUGAGGGACGACGGCCUUCGGGUGGUAAACCUCUUUUAGCAGGGAAGAAGCGAAAGUGACGGUACCUGCAGAAAAAGCGCCGGCUAACUACGUG
rnacentral:rRNA from 1 species